UACGUAGGGGGCUAGCGUUGUCCGGAAUCAUUGGGCGUAAAGCGCGUGUAGGCGGCCCGGUAAGUCCGCUGUGAAAGUCGGGGGCUCAACCCUCGAAUGCCGGUGGAUACUGUCGGGCUCGAGUACGGAAGAGGCGAGUGGAAUUCCUGGUGUAGCGGUGAAAUGCGCAGAUAUCAGGAGGAACACCGAUUGCGAAGGCAGCUCGCUGGGACGUAACUGACGCUGAGACGCGAAAGCGUGGGGAGCAAACAGG
rnacentral:rRNA from 1 species